rnacentral:rRNA from 1 species
CCUACGGGGUGCAGCAGUGGGGAAUAUUGCACAAUGGGGGAAACCCUGAUGCAGCGACGCCGCGUGAGUGAAGAAGUAUUUCGGUAUGUAAAGCUCUAUCAGCAGGGAAGAAAAUGACGGUACCUGAUAAAGAAGCCCCGGCUAACUACGUGCCAGCAGCCGCGGUAAAACGUAGGGGGCAAGCGUUAAUCGGAUUUACUGGGUGGAAAGGGAGCGUAGACGGCAGCACAAGUCUGGAGUGAAAUGCCGGGGCUUAACCCCGGAACUGAUUUGGAGACUGGGCAGCUAGAGUGCAGGAGAGGGAGGUGGAAUUCCAGGUGUAGCGGUGAAAUGCGUAGAUAUUAGGAGGAACACCAGUGGCGAAGGCGGCUUACUGGACUGUAACUGACGUUGAGGCGCGAAAGCGUGGGGAGCAAACAGGAUUAGAUACCCUUGUAGUC